rnacentral:tRNA from 1 species
AUGGAAAAUUGCAUUUUUGGAAUUUGCAAUAAUGCGAUGGGCGAACGACGGGAAUUGAACCCGCGCAUGGUGGAUUCACAAUCCACUGCCUUGAUCCACUUGGCUACAUCCGCCCCUUAUCCAGCUAAAGGAUUUUUGCUUUUUUCCAUUGAUCAUUAUUCUAUUUAUUCUGACCUCCGUACUUCGAUCGAGAUAUUGGACAUAGAAUGCCACUCUUUAAAAAGGAAAAAAGGAGUAAUCAGCUAUGACACGAAAAAAAACGAAUCCUUUUGUAGCUCAUCAUUUAUUGGCAAAGAUAGAAAAGGUCAAUAUGAAGGAGGAGAAAGAAACAAAAAAUAA